rnacentral:rRNA from 2 species
UGCCUCUAGCAUGAAGUCAGACAAGUGA